rfam:Struthio camelus australis contig6629, whole genome shotgun sequence.
ACAAAGGUUUCUUUAGAAACCAAAAAAGGAGUAAAACAUGUAAUAG